rnacentral:misc_RNA from 1 species
AUUGGUGAUAGGGGAUCCAGAGAAAGUUCGUCUGCUGCUGAAUGGGCACAGGGGAAGGAUUUUUCCAACUGGCUGGAUCAGCAGCAGCUACUUGACCCUGAAGGCUUUCAGGAGGGUAAAAGAUGGUCUUCACAGCCAUAUGCUUCUGCUCGCGUUUUGGAAUUAAAGCCUUUGUACCGAACAUCUUCAUACCCUGAGCAGCAACAACACCAUCAACACUUCUCUAGUGAACCAAUUCUUGUGCCCAAGUCUUCUUACACUUCGUAUCCUCUCCCUGGUGGACAAUCUCCUCAUGCUUCACCAAAUCAUAGUCAACUAAAUAUUCCACAUCUUGGUGGCAGUCCCCAAAUGGCAAUUUCUUUACCAAAC